UUAGACUGUUCAAGAAAGAUACUGAAGUGCUUGUCUACAUUAGGAAGACAGUAAAGUCUCUAUCACUUUAAGUCUUCAAGACUAGCCUGGAGAAACACAUCUGGAAUAACAUACAUAUGGCCGGUCUUGCUGUAGGCACUGUAGUGUGGUGACUUUUCUGCCUGAUCAGCUUUCAUGUAUAUUAAGCAACAGUGUGACUGAUAAUGGUACCUUUCCAUCCCAAAUUACAUUACAAGAGUGAAUAAAAUCAGUAAUGUUUGAGAAGCUUAUAGAAAAGGAAAGGCAAGCCAAGUAGAAGUUAAACAUAAGCUUUGUUCCCUCUGUAGGUGCUCAAUGGUAAGUAUUGAUCAGCAGUCUUUCCCAUGAACACGUUAAUCAACUGGAGUGGUGAACAGAGGAACAAGGAGGCUGAACAUCACUGUGUGGUCAGAAAUAAAAAUACUACCUGCUGUCUAGAAGGCAGAAGCAGCCACAGGCAGUUUGGAAUGUUAUUCCAGUUCUUCUGAACAGUAGAAGCAGUGCAAAGUGAUCAGCGAUGGAGACCGAGGAGUGGAGUGUGGAAGAAGCAAAAUUUAAGCAAAAACUUCUGAAGUCAACUAAGGGAACAGUAUAUUUUUAUUGUAAUGAUAUCUUCUAUGCUCUUUAUCUUCCCCAAUGAUAGAAAAAGCUUGAAGAACUGAUUAAAUGACUCUUGGGAUAACUUUUUGAUCAGGUAAUAUAAAUUGCCAUGAAAGCUGGAGAAGGCAAUAAGGGAGCUAAGAUUCCUCCAACCCACUCAGAGAUUUAAAAUCAAAUCUUGAAGCACGGAUAAAAAUAUAUACAGAAGGAAUGAAAAACAAUGAGCGCUAACACCUCCUACAAUAUUUCCCACAUUAUUUUUCUUUUUGUUGACCACAGCUAUGAUGUUUUCUUCAUAAUUUUGAAGUCAAACUCAUAAGAAAAAUGUGACAACUAUUUUUUUCUUUCUUUCUUUUGGGCUUGUUUAUUUGUUUUAAGCCCACCAGGCUUUUAAGUUGAAGGUGUCACUGCAGAACACUACAAUACGUUUACAAUGGUGAAUUCUCAGUCAGUGUAAAUACAUUUUAAAUUACUUUUUGAUGCAUUUUGGCUUGCUUGCAAUUCAUUCUUGCACAUUCUCAAUUGAAUUAUUUAUUAAUCUCUGGCAGUUGUAUUGACGGGAUUAUACAGACAUCUCUGAAGACAUUCGAUGAAGAAACUGAACAAAGCUGGCCUGGAGAGACAAAGCUCCACAAAUCAAUUAGCUCUUUGUUGCCAGCAGUGAUAGAGGGAGAAAGCCUGUCUUGAGCUUGCACGCUUGACAAUGGUGCCAGCUGUUGCUUAUAAGCAGUGAGAUGGUGAUUGCCACUCUCAUGUAAUUCCUCAGGCAGCACCACUGCCUUGUGGUGCUGACUGAGGAAUUACAUGAGAGUGGCAGGGAGGGAAAAAGAUGUGACUCCUCUCCUUGAGAGUGGUAGUUCAUGUUUAUUAACCAGUCCCUGAUGGUAUGUUUUUUAUUUAGAUUUAAUAUUUAACAAAACACCUGUGCAAAAGCCCAAGAUCCACUUUAGAAGUAAUUAGAUUUGCAAUUGCUGCCCAGCAGCACAGGGAUGAAUAUACCAAUAAAUAAACUCUGCUAGCCUAUGCCA
ensembl:lncRNA